ensembl:antisense Gm12236 predicted gene 12236
CUUGUAGAUGAUCCAGUAGAACAUGUUGAAGAUGAGGAAGGCCAUGGGGAAACCGAUGCGAGAUAUCUUGUCGAUCUUCUUGGCUCUCUGGAUGAAGAGUUUCCGCAUCUCCUCCGGGGACUUGGAUGGCGCAGGAGGCGGUUUCUUCCUUUAGGGCGAAGAGGUUAACGCAGUUGGUCGUCCACAUCCAUGGGUUCUACGUCCGUGGUUUCAUCCAAAGUGCAAGUAGAAUCGUUCAGAAGAAGUUCGU